rnacentral:rRNA from 1 species
AUUGAACGCUGGCGGCAGGCCUAACACAUGCAAGUCGAACGGUAAAAGGAAGAAGCUUGCUUCUUUGCUGACGAGUGGCGGACGGGUGAGUAAUGUCUGGGAAACUGCCUGAUGGAGGGGGAUAACUACUGGAAACGGUAGCUAAUACCGCAUAACGUCGCAAGACCAAAAAGGGGGACCUUCGGGCCUCUUGCCAUCGGAUGUGCCCAGAUGGGAUUAGCUAGUAGGUGGGGUAACGGCUCACCUAGGCGACGAUCCCUAGCUGGUCUGAGAGGAUGACCAGCCACACUGGAACUGAGACACGGUCCAGACUCCUACGGGAGGCAGCAGUGGGGAAUAUUGCACAAUGGGCGCAAGCCUGAUGCAGCCAUGCCGCGUGUAUGAAGAAGGCCUUCGGGUUGUAAAGUACUUUCAGCGGGGAGGAAGGGAGUAAAGUUAAUACCUUUGCUCAUUGACGUUACCCGCAGAAGAAGCACCGGCUAACUCCGUG